rnacentral:rRNA from 1 species
AGAGUUUGAUCAUGGCUCAGAUUGAACGUUGGCGGUGUGGAUUAGGCAUGCAAGUCGCGCGCGAAAGUCUUCGGACAAGUAAAGCGGCGGACGGGCGAGUAACGCGUAAUCAACCUGCCCCUGAGACUGGAAUAGCCACUGGAAACGGUGGGUAAUGCCAGAUAGCCCCCCGGGCCGGCAUCGGCCUGUGGGUAAACGGUGGCGCAAGCUGCUGCCCUGGGAGGGGAUUGCGUCCUAUCAGCUAGUUGGUGGGGUAAUGGCUCACCAAGGCGAUGACGGGUAGCUGGUCUGAGAGGACGACCAGCCGCACUGGGACUGAGACACUGCCCAGACUCCUACGGGAGGCUGCAGUCGAGAAUCUUCCGCAAUGGGCGAAAGCCUGACGGAGCGACACCGCGUGCAGGACGAAGGCCCUCGGGUUGUAAACUGCUGUCACGCUCUAGGAAUGCCAUGUCGUUAAUAGCGGCAUGGUGACCAAGGCGAAAGAA